GCAGGAAAGAAAACAAAAUCUGUGGCAAAUAUCACUCCUUGUCACGCUACAACCAUGGAUUUCAUGGUAUUUCAUCAGAAUUUUAAUGACAGAUCAACACAGAACAGAGCUGUUUGGCUGAGCUGCAGAGGAGAGGCGGUGUCUCUGAUCUGUCCUUGAUGUGGGACACAGGAGACCAAACCAGGUUCAGAAGUGUGGACCACAACCACUAAAUUGAACUGAGGGCCUCUCUGAAGAACAGCAGUGACAGCAGCUCUUCACAGAACGCCCUGCUUUUGACCUCUUAGAUAGCUGUAAAACCAUCGCCGUGAAGAUGUACAACUUGCUCUGUUUGACCCCGUUCAGGAACUGGAGAAUCUAGGUUAAGAUAGAUUGUGUUGUUAGUUAUUGACAAUCAUUGGCGCUGUAACUGUGUGAUGAAGUGUUUUUCCCCUCCUCCCUUUAGAGUUACAGUGCUCUCUGUGAUUAGGGAUCCUAAAGACAAUAAAAAGAGAGGGGCAGGCAAAUGUGCGUUCAGAGCAGUAGGAGCACAUCACUGUCUGUUCUCCUCGGGAGUAUUCAGAA